GACGAACCACACAAACGUUAUUCGGAAUUACUGGGCUUAAAGGGUGCGUAGGCUGUGCGGAAAGUUGGGUGUGAAAUCCCCCGGCUCAACCGGGGAAUUGCGCCCAAAACUACCGUGCUUGAGGAAGACAGAGGUGAGCGGAACUUCGGGUGGAGCGGUGAAACGCGUUGAUAUCCGAAGGAACACCGGUGGCGAAAGCGGCUCACUGGGUCUUUUCUGACGCUGAUGCACGAAAGCUAGGGGAGCAAACGGG
rnacentral:rRNA from 1 species